GCACUUGAUACUUGUUAAGUAAAGAAAAUAAUUAAAAUGUCAGGUCAAAUAAAUCUUUUGUCUUGGACUACAGGUUUCUGUGGAGAGGAACAAUUCUAAGUUUUUAGCAAUUUUUUUGAGGCCUUGUCUUUGCAAGACU
rnacentral:snRNA from 1 species